rnacentral:lncRNA from 10 species
GGAAAUCAAAGGAGAACUAAACGCUGGAUCUUCAGUACACGGGAAGGGUAGGAUUCACUCCCAGAGGUCGAAGAACAGAGAGGAGAGAAUUCUCCCACAUGCCCCACCCUUCUGGGGCCUUCCUGACCCCACUCUGCCCUCCUCCUAGCUCCGCCUCUGCCAGCUACUUUGGGGGACUAGGUUGGGAUUCUCCACUUUUACCGAAGGCCUUCCAUGUGUCUAACUGCAGUUCUCUCUGUUGCAAGUUAAGCCGGAACUGAAAGACCAGAAACCAGCCUGCCCUAGUCAAAGAAAGUUAGGGCCCAACCAGCCUCUCCCCAAGAAGCAGGGGGUAGGGAGGAGGUCCCAGGGAAGAACCUGGUUGCCAAAGUCUCGGCCAGUUGGAGAAGAGAUGGGUCUCCCGAGGAUACCCAAGCCCAAGCUCUACACUGUCCCAAGGUGGUUUGUUUUUCUUCUUUCUUCUAUUGGUCUGGACCUUGUAUAUUCUGGGAGGAGGUGAUUAAGGCCAAAUUGCCUUAAGUGGCCAUCCAGCCAGAAGCUGGAAGAAGGGAAGGAUGAGAGGGAAUGAACUGUUGUGUUACGGCUAUUGAGAGAAACAGUGGCAAUACACAGCCAAAGCCCUGAGUUUCUAAUACGGCGCCACCUCUUAUGAGCUGUGAGAUCUUGGGCAAAGUAACUAACCUUUAAGUAUUUGUCUGUAGAAUUGAGAUUGAAAUACUUAUCUUUGCCAGAAUUGUUAUAAGAAUUAAAUGAGUUGAAAGUGUUUCAUCAAGUGUGCAAUGCUACUCAAGUAGGAGGGACUAAGCUACUUCCUUCUCUCACUGCUUGACUGAGCUUCUCUCCAGCCCCACCCCCUGAUGUUUACUGCUUAUGGAGAAAGAGAUUAAGUGAAGCAGGCCCACACAUUCAUGAAGGUGGAAGGAAGAUGUAGCAGGAGAUGGUGGAGAGGGAAACAGAGGAAGACAGGAUGACAGACGUGGGGAGGAAAGGCUGAGCGAGGCAAUGUCCUGACUCACUCUGGCGCUUCCCUCUUUCCCAUCUGGGCUCCAGAGUCUCUGCCCUCAUUCCCCUUCACCAGGUUGCUCAACCCUCCAUCAGACUGUUAGGUCAAGGGUGGACAAACAGACCAACCGGGAUCUGGAUGGCCCCUGGGCAGUACUGACUUCCCCUACCAUUCCCAUGGCAAGAAAAGGGAGUGAUUCCACUAGCAGACUCCCCUACCCUGCAGUGAGACAGCCUGUAGGAAGGUGAGACUCAGACCCCAAGGUUUCUGCUUUUGCUUUGUUCCUUCGAGAUCUCCAUUCCCCCAUGGGAGAGAAACCUCUCUGUCCCACCUGCCCUCCCCUCCCAUCAGCUUUCAGAUUCUCCAGCUGCUCCUCUUCUGAGACUCACCCAGUCUCAUGCCUCCAUUAGCCUCAACUCCCGACCCAUGGCCUGUGGUGAGAGGUGCUAACAACAUGACCUGCUUUCAUCUUGACCUUCCCAGCCCACCCAGAGAAAAGGGAAUCUUGGCUAAAAAAAGGCUGGAAGAGGGGAGAACCCUGGCACUGCGGGUGGGGCUGGGAGGAGCCCAGGCAACCUUACUGGUGAGAAUCUCAUGGCUCUUCAAGGUGAAUAUGAUGAUGAUUUCCCUGGGGUUUCUUUCAAUACUCAGAAGCCGCCCCGAGUUGGAAAGCACAUGCAUACUUGGGGAGGCCAGGGGAGGAAAAGGGGGGCGGCUCACUCUGACAGUAAAUGAAGAAAGUGGAAACAAAUUCAAGGAGCAGGCAGAGCUCCCGGUUUCACCAGAGCCCAACGGUUGGUAAUAAGGAUGAGAACAAUGUGCCUUCACUUCCUGGGAUCAGAACAGCACAUGGCCGCACAUGUACGGGUAUGCAUGUGCUUCCAUAAUCAUAUACUUUCCCAGCUUCUACUCUGCCUGUGGUCUAAUUUCAACUCCUUCAGCUGCUGUACCCACCCAUAAAAUUAUGAGUGUAAAAGCACUUUGCAAACCCUGAUACUCUAUGAAGAAGUAAAAAGUAGUGCUGUAAUUAUUAUCAUUAUUAUGUCCAAUGGUUGAGGUUUCCGCUGCCCACCUGUCAGCUAUGUGAGGCCUAAAGAGAGGGAGGGCUAGGCCAUUCCUCAGCUUCUGAGGUUCCUGGCCCUUUUCCCCUUCCAUCUGUCCACAGCUGACUGCUAAGCUGGAUGCGUAGGGGAAAGCAGAGAAAAGGUGAUUUACUGGGACACAGAGACACAGGCUGGAAGAGAUAGCAUGUGUUUCCUUAAAAUUUGAAGCAUUUGGCUGGGCACAGUGGCUCACACCUGUAAUCCCUGCACUUUGGGAGGUAAAGGCAAGAGGAUUUCCUGGGCCCAAGAGUUAGAGGCUGCAGUGAGCUAUGAUUGUGCCAUUGUACUCCAGCCUGGGAGACAGAAACCCCCUCUCUUAAAAAAAUAAAAAAAUAAAAAAUGGAACCAUUGCUCUGAGUUUCUAAUAGGGGGAGU